rnacentral:sRNA from 1 species
UAUUUAGCAAUAUUAUCCUCGGGUCCGUUAUUAGCGAAAUUAUUUUUUGCUGCGCUCCUAAUCCAUUAUUGCAAAUUUACCGGAGGUCCUGCUGCGUUUGGAUAUUUCCUGUAAAAGGUUUCCAACAAUAUUGGUAAAUUUUUCAAAUCGCGGGCUUUAUAUUAUAUUUUUUUAAUAAUUAUCCAUUUUAAACCCAAAUAUACAAAUAUUAUAUUUGGGUUUAUCGAAAAAUGCGAUAAUGGUUAUCGUAAAUGGAUCGUGGGGAAGUUCGUACGUUAAAUCCCUUAAUCUGUCCUAUAUAUUAUCGAUAUUUGUUAUAAUUACUUUUAAAUAAAACGGUUGCUUUUUCGGCGGUACCCCAAAUAUAAUUUAAAAUCGCAUAAUGGAUUAUAUUUUUUACAUCGGUCCCCCUGAAAAAAAAUAUAAUAAUCGUAUAUUAAACCGACGGCCAAAAAUCGAAACGGGUUUGUUUUAAAUAAUAAAAAUCGAAAUUCCAAAUAUCCACAACCGGAUUGUUUUGAAAACAAUUUUCGAAUCGCGACCUUACCCAUUUAAUUUCGUUUGUAGGUUUCGACCGUGGUUUCGUUUAACCGCCCCAGCACAGUUUCCGCUUCCGCUAUCGCCUGCGGCACCCGGUUAUUUACGAAAUCCUUUUUUCGCAUUUCCGAAAAAAGUUUAAUACCGCCCAAUAUCGUACAGCGCGACAAUUGCACGUAUAGGUUAUAAGGGUCGCAAACAAAGGCCACCGGUACGCCGUCGACCUUUGUCGUUAACGUACCGCGGAAUUUUAACGCGAUCCUAUCCAACGACCUUUUUUGGAUUUUAUAAUCGGUAUACGCGAACGCCGCCGCGCACGGCAACCCCCGUCGGUACGCUGUGCGCGUUUACCACAACUUUUUCCCCACGGGUUUGAUUUUUAUUUUUACCGGCGUUACGAAAAUUGCGUUUGGUGGAAACCCCACGAACCCGUAACCGACGGUCGUUUCGGACGUUAAUAAAAUGCCCGCCGGGGGUCCAAAAAAUAAUAUUAUAUUGUCGACGAAAAAUUGGCAGUUUUUGAAAAUCUUCGGUUUUUUUUAUUGCAAAAUGGCGUUAAUUUUGGAAUUGGUUAUGGUAAUACCGUUACGACGGAUUAUAUGGCCGAUAAAUUCGAUUUUUUGGACGCCCCAGCUGCAUUUCCGAGGAGCGAUUGCCAGGUUAUAUUAAUAAAUUUUUUAAGGAUUUCCCGGACUAUUUUAUUAUAUUUUUCCUUUAUUUUUAUAUAAAUUAACAGAUCGUCCAGGUAAACCAGCAAUCCUAAAUCGAUAAGGUCCAUAAAAAUAUAAUAUAUUAGGUUUUGGAAUGUUGCGGGUGCAUUAAUAAAUCCCAUCGGUAUUAUUUUGUAUUUGAAGAGGCCGUAUUUGCAGCGGAAUAUUGUAAGCCAUUCGUGGCUUUUUUUCAUUCGGAUAAGGUUAAACCCGGUUUUGAGGUCGAUUUUCGUUAUCCAAUAAACUUUUCUAAAUUUAUUUUGGAAUUUCGUAAUAAAUGGUAUUGGGCAUCGGACCGGUACGUUUUUUGAAUUAAGGUUUCGGUAAUUAAUAAAAGGUCGCAGAGGGUCGAGGGGGUUUUUUUUUUAGCGAAUAAUAAGGGGGAACCCGCCGACGAUUUAAAGCGUCGUAUGCGUCCGGUUUGGAAAUUCUUUUUUAACCAGGGUUUGAGGACAUUAAAUUUUUUUUUUGAAAAGGCCGCUAUUAGAUAUUUAAUGCCAAAAUUUUAAAGGAAUUUUAUGCAAAUAAUUAUUAAUAGUAACCCGACCAGCAAAACCUUGCAGGUAAAUGUUUGGUUUAAUUUUCCAAACAACGUUAUAAUAAGGCCAAAAAGCCAUUUUAACCUGGUUUUUAAAAAGGAAUACCUAUCCGUAAACCACCUAUAUUACCGUUAAAAUCCUUUUAACCCGGCAAUUACCGACGAUAGGGGUAUAUUUAAUUAUAUAAUUUUGACAAAUACCACGGUUAUUUACCACGUUUAUAAUAAUAUAAUAAAUUUUAAUUAGCCAUUACAGUUUGUAAAAAACAGGGCAUAUUUUUACCGGUCGAGGAUAUCGCGAAAAAUAAGUUUUGCCCCGAUUGCAAUUGGAUAAUUUUAUAUUAACAAUUUGGUAGGGAAUUAUAUUUGAACUUUUUAAUUUAAUCGGCCAAUACCAGCUAUUUAUAUUUACAAUUCCAAAUUCCUCCCCCGGAUUUAUUUUAUAUAGCCCAACAACAAAUUUAAACCCUGGUAAAUUGGAUAUUUGGGCAAAAACUAUUGCGACAUUUUAAUAUUACGUUUUAAAUAUUUUUGCGAAUUCGAAAAAUAAUGGCGCAAAUUUUUUAAAUGGAUUUUAUUUAUUAGCAAACGUUGCAAAAAACGUUUCGCCGACGCCGCAACGUUUUAUGGGGCGCAUUGUUUUACGGAACCAGAACGUAUAUUUUUAUUCGGAUAAUUAUUUCCAGCACCAAAAUAACAAAAUUAUAUCGAAUUAUAAAGUGCCCCUAAAACGUAAACCAAAUAUGGUUAUUAGCACCAGCGGGGGAAAUGGAAAACGUUAAAAAACAAUUUAUAUAUUAACAAAUACCAGUAAUUUGUUGCAAUUAAAUAAUAAAAAACAGCAGCCAUUGCGGAACCGAAUAUUUUCGAAUCGGCGUUUAAUAAUUGGGACAAUUUUAUCCCAGCAAAAUUUUGAGCCUACCAACGCACUAUCCGGUGGUCGAUAGGUAAAUAACGGAUUGUCGGACGACGAAUUUUCCAGUAAUGACGAUUAACGUUCUACAAACCUGGGAAAUAAAUACGGGAUCCAAAACUAUAUGCAAAACGGAAUUGCGGUCACGUUAGGGUAAUAUUUACCAAAAAAAUAUUAUAUUUGUAAUAUCGAUUAAUAAAAUCUGAUAAUAAUUAUUAGGAUUUUGUUAAAGUUUAAACUUUUGGUUUGCUCCCGAAUUUCAACCGUUCCGCCAAUAACAAACACCCAAAUUUGCUCCAAUUUUAUAAAAGGAAACGAAAAAUCAAGUGCAUAAUUUCUCCUAAGGACGUUAAAAAUUGCAGCAAUUGUAUUCGGUUAAAUAAAACCUGCACAUUUAUAGCAAAAGCCCGACCCGUGUCGAAAAAUAGGGGGAAACCAAUUUUUCCGAAUAUUUAAAAUAUUGCAAAUUGGAUAGGAGCAAAAAUCAGCCUAAGGACUAUUAAAUUAAAUAAUUCGGACGUUUCUAAUACAUAUACCGACGUUACCACCUGGUUGCCCGGCGAUACAAUAUGCGGACAACUUCCCGUAACCAUUGCAAAUGUUGCAUUACCUGCUUUUUUCCCGGUUCAAAUUAUAAACCAAAACCAAUUAUUUUUAUUUAUCGAAUUACAAACGCCUUUUGCUGCAAUACUUUGCAAUUUUACUGCGCAUCCAUUUAUUUUAUUUGACCCCCACAGCCAAACGAUUUUCCCGGCUUUCCAAAAGGGGCUAUAUUUGCCAAAAUGUCUGCCUGUAUACGGGACGACGAAUUUCGGAUUAGGUUCAAAUUAUAAAUGAAAUAAUUUUUUUUUGUGUAAUAAUUUAUUACAAAAUUAUAAGAUAAUAUUCGCACAGUUAUACCAAUUAUUACGACCAGGAUUGGGGUUGAUAUUAUUGGGCAAAAAAAGGAAGAAAUGUCGGGAACCCAAACCGGAACCACCAAAAAAUACGAACCGAAAAACAGGAAUAGGAAACUCCGAAUUACGUAACGAUAAAAUAAAGGAACCCUAACCCGAUCACUAAGCCGGCGUGGUUACGAUUACCGCCAAAAAAAUAAUUAGCCCUAAUAGCGAUUAUUUAAAAGUAAUCGUAAUUAUUUAUACGAAAUAAUUACUAAUUUAUAUAAAAACGUUUAUUACCAUAUAAAUAAAAUUUAGCUUAAAAUUGUUUAGCAGCAAUUAAACUUGUUAUACAAUCGAUUAUUAUUUUACCCCAAUUAUUAAAAAA